rnacentral:rRNA from 1 species
CGCGGGUUAAACCUCCCUUGUUUCUAUGACAAUGUUGGUACCCGUGUGCAACCGGAAAGAAACCCUUCUCGCAUACACGCUUUUCUUCAAGCACAUCGUCAGAUUGAGGAUGCAACCACUCAUGGUCGGCUCCGGGAUGAUCUAAUAGAGCACCACUGGCAGUUGGAUGGGCGGCGCAUUGACCCAUGA